UCAUUAACAACUACAAAAUAAGUCCUAAAUCUCAAAAGCUCCAUCCCCAUGAAUAUUCAAAGACUGUAUUUUUUCUUCAAUUCGUUGAACUUACGUUAAAUUUAUAGGAAAUUGUACUCUAUUAUACUAGUUGUCUUCUUCAUCAUCCCAAAUUUAGAGUUUGAACUCCAUAUAUGUUGUAGCCAUGUCGCAAAGAGAAGAGAGUUCUCAAAUGGCAUUGGAUUUUUGUUGUUGUGGUUUUAACGCAAAACUGAAAAUUUCACAGUCCCCCAAAAUUCCAGGUCGUCGAUUUUAAGGGUGUAAAUUGGACAAAGAUUGAGGUGCUUGCGACUACUUUAGAUGGUAUGACGAAGACUUUCUCGAUCAAGCUAAGAAGACCAUUAAUGGUUUGCUAAAAGGGUCAAAGAAAAUGAAGCAAAAUUGGCUUGGGAAAGGAAGAAGUGGAUUCUUGUGUUUAUAGUCGUGUUCAUUGCGUGGAAUUAUUUGGUCAUGCCUGUAUUUUGUUGAUUAAAGCUAAGAAGACCAUUGUUGAAGGUUGCUUGCAAUAUUAUUGUUAGUUUUUGGGUAGGAUUAAAGGUUGAUGGCAAUCUUGUAUUUGUUAAUGAAAAAAACUGAAUCUUGUACUUA